rnacentral:rRNA from 1 species
UAAGGAAUAUUGGACAAUGGAGGCAACUCUGAUCCAGCCAUGCCGCGUGAAGGAAUAAGGCCCUAUGGGUUGUAAACUUCUUUUAGACGGGACAAAACCCCUUUACGUGUAAAGGGUUGAUGGUACUGUCAGAAUAAGCAUCGGCUAACUUCGUGCCAGCAGCCGCGGUAAUACGAAGGAUGCAAGCGUUAUCCGGAAUUAUUGGGUUUAAAGGGUGCGUAGGCGGACUAAUAAGUCAGUGGUGAAAGCCUGCAGCUUAACUGCAGAAUUGCCAUUGAUACUGUUAGUCUUGAGUACAGUUGCGGUAGGCGGAAUGUGUCAUGUAGCGGUGAAAUGCUUAGAUAUGACACAGAACACCGAUUGCGAAGGCAGCUUGCUAAGCCGUAACUGACGCUGAGGCACGAAAGCGUGGGGAGCAAACA